rnacentral:rRNA from 1 species
GAUGAACGCUGGCGGUCUGCUUAACACAUGCAAGUCGAACGAACUCUUCGGAGUGAGUGGCGGACGGGUGAGUAACGCGUGAGAAACCUGCCCUAUACAGGGGGAUAGCCAUUGGAAACGAUGAUUAAUACCCCAUAUGACCACAGUAUCGCAUGAUACAGCGGUGAAAACUCCGGUGGUAUAGGAUGGUCUCGCGUCUGAUUAGCUAGUUGGUGGGUAACGCUACAAGGCGACGAUCAGUAGCCGGCCUGAGAGGGUGACCGGCCACACUGGAACUGAGACACGGUCCAGACUCCUACGGAGGCAGCAGUGGGGAAUAUUGCACAAUGGGCGAAAGCCUGAUGCAGCGACGCCGCGUGAACGAUGAAGGCUUUCGAGUCGUAAAGUUCUGUUCUUGGGGAAGA